AGUGGUUGAUCACGAGUUAGUCGGUCCUAAGUUCAAGGCGAAAGCCGAAAAUUUUCAAGUAAAGAAAAAUCUAAAUAUAUUUGUCAUCUAACCGAUUUUUAUACACUUGAAUAAUUUUGAACGAAAGGGAAUACGGUUCCAAUUCCGUAACCUGUUGAGUAUCCGUUUGUUAUUAAAUAUGGGCCUCGUGCUCAUCCUGGCAACAGGAACGACCAUAAAGAAGCCGUCGAGAGGUAUCGGAAGAGUUUUCUUUUCUGUUUUAUAGCCGUACUACCAUGGAAGUCUUUCGCAGAGAGAUAUGGUAGAUGGGCUAGAAGAGCAUGACAUAUACUGUUGUGUCGAUAUUUUCUCCUCGGACCUUGAAAAUUUAUGGUGGGGACACGCAAACUUCUCAACAGGCCGUACCAAUAUCCGCAGCUGGUCUCCAAGGUGAAAGAGUCUCUAGUC
rnacentral:ncRNA from 1 species